rnacentral:rRNA from 1 species
UACGAAGGGUGCAAGCGUUGUUCGGAUUUAUUGGGCGUAAAGGGCGUGUAGGCGGAUCAGUAAGUCAGGUGUGAAAUCUCGAGGCUUAACCUCGAAACUGCGCCUGAAACUACUAAUCUAGAAUCUCGGAGAGGGAAGGGGAAUUUCGCAUGUAGGAGUAAAAUCCGUAGAGAUGCGAAGGAACACCAGAGGCGAAGGCGCCUUCCUGGACGAGCAUUGACGCUGAGGCGCGAAAGCGUGGGGAGCAAACAGG